AACAAAUCACCAGGAGCAGACUGGAAGUCUGUCGAUUGUGAAGAGAUGGAAACGUACGAAAGAUAUGACGAAGCAAGGCAGGUGCUGCCUCUUGCCACCAACACAUCAAAUCUCAAUGGUGAGGUGGAGUACGGACGUGGAAAACGGCGCAGGACAAAGAGGAUGCUGUGUUGAAAAUGUACAUGAAGACGACGAAGUGGUCUGGCAGUUGCUCCAUUCCCGGUUUAAAGUUUACCGUUCAACAUUUGGUGCCGAAACCCGGGACCAAGACGGCAGCUGCAACGACGUUCGAACGCUUCGCCAUGCCUAACAGCAACGUUCCAGAGAAGCUUCAGGCCAAGCCGACAACGAGAAGAACGCAAGCAACGAAGAUUAUUAACGAAGCUACCGCUGCGCCUCAGGACCAGAGUGCCACAGCAGAGAAUAUCACAGCCCUACUGGAGAAGCUCACGACAUGCAGCAAGUAGCUUUACGUUU